CCUACGGGAGGCAGCAGUGGGGAAUAUUGGGCAAUGGGCGCAAGCCUGACCCAGCAACGCCGCGUGAAGGAAGACGGCUUUCGGGUUGUAAACUUCUUUUCUCAGGGACGAAGAAAGUGACGGUACCUUCGGACUAAGCCACGGCUAACUCCGUGCCAGCAGCCGCGGUAAUACGUAGGUGGCAAUCGUUAUCCUGAUUUACUGGGUGUAAAGGGCGUGUAGGCGGGACUGCAAGUCAGAUGGGAAACCCAAGGGCUCAACCUGUGGCCUGCAUUGGAAACUGUAGUUCUUGAGUACUGGAGAGGCAGACGGAAUUCCUAGUGUAGCGGUGAAAUGCGUAGAUAUUAGGAGGAACACCAGGGGCGAAGGCGGUCUGCUGGACAGCAACUGACGCUGAGGCGCGAAAGCGUGGGGAGCAAACAGGAUUAGAUACCCCGGUAGUC
rnacentral:rRNA from 1 species